GUGGGGAAUCUUCCGCAAUGGACGAAAGUCUGACGGAGCAACGCCGCGUGAGUGAAGAAGGUUUUCGGAUCGUAAAGCUCUUUCGUUAGGGACGAACGUGCUCUUUGUGAAUAAUGAGGAGUAAUGACGGUACCUAAAUAAGAAGCCACGGCUAACUACGUGCCAGCAGCCGCGGUAAUACGUAGGUGGCAAGCGUUGUCCGGAAUUAUUGGGCGUAAAGCGCGCGCAGGCGGGAUAUCAAGUCUGUCUUAAAAGUGCGGGGCGCAACCUCGUAAGGGGACAGAAACUGGUAUUCUUGAGUGUCGGAGAGGAAAGUGGAAUUCCAAGUGUAGCGGUGAAAUGCGUAGAGAUUUGGAAGAACACCAGUGGCGAAGGCGACUUUCUGGACGAUGUCUGACGCUGAGGCGCGAAAGCUAGGGGAGCGAACGGGAUUAGAAACCCCAGUAGUCC
rnacentral:rRNA from 1 species